rnacentral:rRNA from 1 species
UACGUAGGUGGCAAGCGUUGUCCGGAUUUACUGGGCGUAAAGAGCGCGCAGGCGGUCGUUCAAGUCGCGUGUGAAAGCCCCCGGCUCAACUGGGGAGGGUCACGCGAUACUGAUCGACUCGAAGGCAGGAGAGGGAAGUGGAACUCCCGGUGUAGUGGUGAAAUGCGUAGAUAUCGGGAGGAACACCAGUGGCGAAGGCGACUUCCUGGCCUGUUCUUGACGCUGAGGCGCGAAAGCUAGGGGAGCAAACGGG